rnacentral:misc_RNA from 1 species
GUUUGAUGGAUCCAAAGUACUUAUUGUGAAAGUGGAUCAAAGCACCGGAUUUCAAGGUCUGAUUGUCAACAAACAUAUCAGUUGGGACUCUCUUGAUGAACUUGAAGAUGGAGUACAGCUUCUGAAGGAGGCUCCUCUUUCUUUUGGUGGCCCUGUCAUGAAACGUGGAAUGCCUUUUGUUGCGUUUUCCAGAAAGUAUAUAGUUAACCAGUCAAUGGAGGUGCUGCCAAAUGUAUUUUUUCUUGACCAAAGGGCCACAGUAGUUAUCAUAGAAGAGCUAAGGUUAGGAAACCAGUCUAUCCAUGACUUGUGGUUCUUUUUGGGAUUUUCAAGUUGGGGUUGGGGCCAGCUAUUUGAUGAAAUUGCUGAAGGAGCUUGGAUGGUAAGAAAUCAUGAUGAGGAACAAAUAGAUUGGGCUUGGAGAUG